ACGGAGUCCGUCGGCCUGCGCGUCGAGUCUAACCGUGAGUCCCAAAGGACCGGGAAACGGCUUUAUUUCUAGAUAUAACAGACAACAGUGAGGAAUGUUUCCGCUCCGAAGCAUAGCCUGAUCCCAGCGUAGUAGAGCCCGUCUCCCCUCCCAACAACAACACGGAACCCUCCUCCUCCACACCGCGGUAGAGAGGGCGGCGAGCUAACCUUAGCUGCGGAGCCAAGCUGUGAACACACUGACUCUACAUUGAAGAAUAGUAUUGGGGAGAUGACAACAGUCCAUGCUGUGAGCAGAGGUGAUGAGUGUCCUCUGUUAAUGGUCUGGAUCCUUCCUCCUUGGUCAAACAUCAUAGCGGAAGUCAGCCUUGAAAUCUGGGAGACAGCCAGCUUACCCUCCAUCUCCCCACCACCAUCUCUCCAUCAAACCGUCACAGCACAGGAAAUAAGCGUUUCCUCGAGCUGGGGUGGGCUGGAGCUCGCCUCGUAUCAGGAUUAUCUAUCCCCAUCUUCGGUGAUGCCCAAUUAGUCGGAGAGCUGAUAAAACCAAGCACCUCUCACAAUGCUGGCAUAGAAGUCUACAUCUGUGCUUCACGUGUAGGCACCAGGUUUGAAACUCAAGACAGAUCAUAGUGGGGGUUUACUGAACUGAUAUGACAUGAGAAGUACCGGUAUGUUUAUGAACAAACAAAUGAAGAGACUAAAUCCCAAUCACUGCAUUUUUCUGUACAUUUUAGGGAACCUUGUUAAAAGGGGCACAAGUUGUGCUUCCUUUUCUGUUUUGAUGGAUCCAUUGAGGUUAUAUCACUGGUUCAGAGAUGAGAGAGAGAGAGAGAGAGAGAGAGAGAGAGAGAGAGAGAGAGAGAGAGAGAGAGAGAGAGAGAGAGAGAGAGAGAGAGAGAGAGAGAGAGAGAGAGAGAGAGAGAGAGAGAGAGAGAGAGAGAGAUCAAAUCCCAUAUUCCACACAUUCAACCAAAACCAUUGUUCAGACAGUGAAAACAUCCCCCCCACCUCAGCAUUGGUUUUAUUCUCUAUUUGUUUCUAUUCUGUUAGUAAUAUGCGGUUAAUAAAUGAGAUAAGGCCAUGGACCUUAUCUCAUUUAGUUCGUAUUGAGAUUGCAUGGCUAACGAAUACUAAUAAAUCACCCAGUUGAGAACCCUACUCUGCCCUUCUUCAUUUGCGGGACCAGAUGUAUCUUAAACAGUUGUUAAUAUACUGGCAUUAAAUGUCAGCUUUUUAUCUGCUGCAUAAUCUAGGUACAUUGUGAUCAAAACAACAGCAGAUGAUAGAGGACUGCGUGACGGGUAGGUUAGUCUCCCCUUAGGCCAGUGUUUGUGUGUUCUGAAUUUAUAUAGUGUUGUAUAUCACCACUUCAAAGCUCAAUGCAUUUCAAAAGGGCAUCCUCUAUCUGCCUCUCUAAAUGACACAAGCCUCUAAUCUCCAGGAAGAAGGAUUCAAAGUGGAUAUAGAGCAGAGUCAGCAUGUCAUAGUUUGUAUCGUGAGUCAACACUUGUAUUAAAGCAAUGGCCAAUUAAGCCGUGUGUGUGUGUGUGUGUGUGUGUGUGUGUGUGUGUGUGUGUGUGUGUGUGUGUGUGUGUGUGUGUGUGUGUGUGUGUGCAUCCGCCUAUUCAAAAUCAAUAAAAUAUCUAGAUUCAAAAGAACUUAAAGCACCUCCAUGCUUGCUUCAAACCUCCCAAGGAAGCUAACAGGGUCAGGGUUCCAGAACUGAUGGAUUCUAGUGUGGCAUGUGCUUCUAUUUAUAACAUGGUUAUAAUUACAUGUCUGGUCCUUCCUUUGGCCGUGAUGUACAUUUUUAGUCAAGGAAUAAUUCAUCCUGCCACUGCUGCCAUUUAUUAUUGUCAUGACUCUGAGGUCUGAGGCAAGUCUGGGAAAAUGUAUUCUCCACUCCCCACAGAGGCUGACGAAAAACAAGGAAUUUGUGUGAGUUUGUGUGUUUGUGAUACUUGCGCAAGUAUGCAAGUGUGUGUUUGCAUGUGUUUUCUUUUCAUUUUGUAAUAAAACAAUUGGGAAAGAGA